CCUACGGGGGGCUGCAGUGGGGAAUAUUGCACAAUGGGGGAAACCCUGAUGCAGCAACGCCGCGUGAGUGAUGACGGCCUUCGGGUUGUAAAGCUCUGUCUUCAGGGACGAUAAUGACGGUACCUGAGGAGGAAGCCACGGCUAACUACGUGCCAGCAGCCGCGGUAAUACGUAGGUGGCGAGCGUUGUCCGGAUUUACUGGGCGUAAAGGGAGCGUAGGCGGAUUUUUAAGUGAGAUGUGAAAUACUCGGGCUUAACCUGAGUGCUGCAUUUCAAACUGGAAGUCUAGAGUGCAGGAGAGGAGAAGGGAAUUCCUAGUGUAGCGGUGAAAUGCGUAGAGAUUAGGAAGAACACCAGUGGCGAAGGCGCUUCUCUGGACUGUAACUGACGCUGAGGCUCGAAAGCGUGGGGAGCAAACAGGCUUAGAUACCCCAGUAGUC
rnacentral:rRNA from 1 species